UGAGACUCCUGGACGACGGCGUUUUCGACGGACUCACGGGUUUGGAGCAGCUAGACUUGAGGUGCAACCGGCUGGUCACGUUGCACGGACGAAGCUUCCGACUUCUGAAAUCGUUGAUGGACGUGAAUCUUCAGGGCAAUCGAGUGGAGGUUCUGCGACCUGAUAUUUUUCAAGAGAAUACGAGACUGCAAAGAGUUGACUUGAGUAGAAAUAAUCUCGCACAAAUUCCUCACGCCACCUUCGCCAACACCAGAGAUUCUUGAUUAUAAACGCUAAUAAAAAAAAACUCAUUAAGUUUAUAAAAAUUUUUUAACUAUGUCUUUAAAAUUAAAGAAGUUAAUCACAAUUGCUAUAAUAGCUGAAGCUAUACAAAAAAAGACAAUCGAAGAAAAUAGUAUAAAAAAGAAACGAAGAAAGCGUCGUAAAAUAUGGACACGUUAAAUACUCAGAAGAAGUCAUAAUUUACGAGGCACAAUUAAUUUAGCCCAUCUACAUAGAAUUAAGAAGCGAAGAUACUGAUUAUUUUCAAAGAUUUUUUCGAAUGAGACACGAUUUAUUUGAUCAACUUGUGGAACUAGUAGCACCCUAUAUACAGCGUCAAAACACUAACAUGAGAGAAUGGUAUAUGUCCUAAAGAACGUUUAUCACUAACUCUGAGGUUUUUGGCUACUGGUGAGAAUUAUAGGAGUUUAGAGUACUCGACAAGGAUACCAGCAUGUUCAAUUUCUCGGAUAAUUCCAGAGACAUGUCGUGUCAUAUACGAAGUUCUUCGAAACGAUUACUUGCGGAUACCAACUACAAAUGCUGAAUGGGAACAGAUUGCAAAUAAUUAUUUUGAAAUAUGGAAC